rnacentral:rRNA from 1 species
AUGAACGCUAGCGGCAGGCCUAACACAUGCAAGUCGAGGGGCAGCAUGGCGUAGCGAUACGCUGAUGGCGACCGGCGCACGGGUGCGUAACGCGUAUGCAACCUGUCCGGCGCAGGGGGGUAGCCCGUCGAAAGGCGGGGUAAUCCCGCAUGAACCGGUAUUCCGCAUGGGGGUGCCGGCAAAGUGGAGACGCGGGGCCGGAGGGGCAUGCGUGCCAUUAGCUGGCUGGUGGGGUAACGGCCCACCAGGGCGAUGAUGGCUAGGGGGUCUGAGAGGAUGGUCCCCCACACUGGUACUGAGACACGGACCAGACUCCUACGGGAGGCAGCAGUGAGGAAUAUUGGUCAAUGGGCGGAAGCCUGAACCAGCCAUGCCGCGUGCAGGAAGGAGGCCCUACGGGUUGUAAACUGCUUUUACCCGGGAAGAAACCGCCCCCUGUGGGGGGCGUUGCCGGUACCGGGGGAAAAAGGAUCGGCUAACUCCGUGCCAGCAGCCGCGGUAAUACGGAGGAUCCGGGCGUUAUCCGGAAUUACUGGGUUUAAAGGGUGCGUAGGCGGGGCUUUAAGCCGGCGGUGAAAUGCAGCGGCUCAACCGCUGGAAUGCCGUUGGGACUGGGGCUCUUGGAUACGGUCGGGGCGGGUGGAACUCGUGGUGUAGCGGUGAAAUGCAUAGAUAUCACGAGGAACGCCGGUAGCGAAGGCAGCUCGCCGGGCCGGUAUUGACGCUGAGGCACGAAAGCGUGGGGAUCGAACAGGAUUAGAUACCCUGGUAGUCCACGCCGUAAACGAUGAUGGCUGGGUGUUGGCGAUAGACGGUCAGCGCCUGAGGGAAACCAUUAAGCCAUCCACCUGGGGAGUACGGCCGCAAGGCUG